CUUCUAUCUCUGCAAACUGCAUCCCUGAAAAUUAAUUACAGAAAUACACAGCAACUGAAUGUCAAGAUGAUGUCUAUAUUUCAUGUGCAUUAAGUGAAUGGGGAAAGUUUCUCUGUGGAUACCUCUUCUGCUUUUUAAUAAAUUCUUUCUUUUGCCUGAAGAGAAUUAGAAGCUGGCUUUUGACCUCCAUUAAUUUUUUUAAUUUAAUAGUUCUCUGCAUGCAUUAAUAAAUAUUAUUAACCAUA